GUCAGCAGCUAUAUCACCCUGCAACUCACAAGUGACAACCCACUGAAGCUCAGCAGGUGAGAGCCUGGUCAGUACCUGCAUGGGAGACCACUUAGGAAAGCUAAAGUUGCUGCUUAAA
rnacentral:rRNA from 1 species